rnacentral:lncRNA from 1 species
GAAGGUUGCAAAGAAGAUUGUAGAAGAGGCAAUGUUGAUCAGUGGGGGUGUAUGGUAGAGGUCUCCGACAAUGAAGGCAGAACCGGUCUGGGUUUUCAGCGAGGCUCAUCAACUGCAAGGUCUGAAGAUAUGCAACUUAGUUGAUCGGAGGGUUCAUUCAUGGCAAUGAACAACACUUAGUUGUUGUGCUAGAGGAUGACGAAGAGGAAGACUGCA